GAGUUUAGUGUGGACUGUGAGGCGGGACUCGCUAGUACAAAGGAUGGGAGUCGGGCGCUGUUUAUUGGAGUAACGGGGCGACUGCGGGAGGAGGGGGGGAUACCCGGUCUUUGGGGAGCCGUAUACCGGGGUCCCGAAAAUGGGGAACGCAGAAAGUGCGGGGGGACCCCCGGGGACAACUUUGUUACCGCUCAAAGUCCCGAUGCCGGAGCCGGGGGAGCUGGAGGAGAGAUUCGCUUUGGUCCUGAGUUCCAUGAAUCUUCCCCCAGACAAAGCACGACUCUUGCGACAGUACGAUAAUGAAAAAAAGUGGGACCUCAUCUGUGACCAGGAGCGCUUUCAAGUGAAAAACCCCCCGCACACGUACAUCCAAAAACUACAAUCAUUCCUGGACCCCGGAGUCACACGAAAGAAGUUUAGAAGACGGGUACAAGAAUCUACAAAGGUGCUGCGUGAACUGGAAAUAUCACUGCGAACAAAUCACAUAGGGUGGGUGCGUGAGUUCUUGAAUAAUGACAACAGGGGCCUGGAUGUUUUGGUGGAGUAUCUCUCAUUUGCACAGUGCGCGGUUAUGUUUGAUUUUGAGGGCCUGGAAAACGGGGAGGAUGGCUUGGUUGAAAAGUCCAAAUCCUGGAGCAGAUCCAUCGAGGAUCUGCAGAGUCCCAACGCCCUCCAUGCCCCUUUCGCCAACGGCCUCGCUCGCUCUGCCCGCCAGUCUGUGCUCCGCAGCUACAAUACAUUGCCAGGAAAAAAAGCGCUGAAAAACUCCAGAUUGGUGAGCCAGAAGGAUGAUGUACAUGUCUGCAUCAUGUGCCUCCGUGCCAUUAUGAAUUACCAGUAUGGCUUCAAUCUGGUCAUGUCCCACCCUCAUGCCGUCAAUGAAAUUGCUCUCAGCUUAAACAACAAGAAUCCAAGAACUAAAGCUUUGGUCCUGGAAUUACUGGCUGCGGUGUGUCUGGUCCGGGGAGGACAUGAAAUAAUUCUAUCUGCUUUUGACAACUUCAAAGAGGUCUGCAAGGAGAAGCAUCGUUUUGAGAAGCUCAUGGAAUAUUUUAGGAUUGAAGACAGCAACAUUGAUUUCAUGGUUGCCUGUAUGCAGUUCAUUAACAUUGUUGUCCAUUCUGUGGAAGACAUGAACUUCCGUGUUCACCUUCAGUUUGAGUUCACCAAGCUGGGCCUUGAAGAGUUCCUAGAGAAAUCUAAACACACGGAAAGUGAGAAACUGCAGGUGCAGAUUCAGGCCUACCUGGAUAACGUGUUUGAUGUAGGAGGUCUGCUGGAAGAUGCAGAGACGAAGAAUGUUGCACUUGAGAAAGUGGAGGAGUUGGAAGAACAUUUAUCCCAUAUGACGGAAAAGCUGCUAGAUUUGGAGAAUGAGAACGUGAUGCGAGUGGCCGAGCUGGAAAAAACGUUAUUACAGAGAGAGAAGGAGCUGGACAUGAUUAGGGAAACGUAUGAGACCACAAGUCAUCAGGUGAACACGCUAAGGAAAAUCAUCAAAGAAAAGGAAGAAGCAUUUCUGCAGCUCCGCCAGCUGGAGCACGCCAAUGCUCUACAGCAGCAGAAGUUUGGGUCUGCUGGGACCAUCCCCCCAUCAUUUGCUGGCCUACCUGGAGACAUUUCAUUGAUUGCAGACUUUCCACCUCCUCCACCCCCGCCCCCACCUGCACCAGCACCUCUACCUGCAGCACCACCUCCACCCCCUCCCCCACCUCCACCUCCACCACCUCCUCCAAUGCCAAGCAAGUGCCCUCCUCCACCUCCUCUUCCAUCUUCCUCACCUUCUGUUAUCCUCACAAUGGGUUUGUCAGCAAUCAGGAUCAAGAAGCCAAUAAAAACAAAGUUCCGCCUGCCUGUGUUUAACUGGACUGCUCUUAAACCCAACCAGAUAAGUGGCACUGUGUUCAGCGACCUGGAUGAUGAGAGGAUAUUACAGGAUCUGGAUAUGGAUAAAUUUGAAGAAAUGUUCAAAACCAAAGCACAGGGAGCUGCCAUUGAUGUUUCCUGCUCCAAGACUAAAUCUUCCCAGAAAUCAAUAAGUAAAGUGACCCUUUUGGAGGCAAACCGAGCCAAGAACCUGGCAAUCACUCUACGAAAGGCUGGGAGGGCCCCAGAGGAGAUCUGUAAAGCUAUCCACACGUUUGACUUGAGGACAUUGCCGGUAGAUUUUGUGGAGUGUCUGGUACGCUUCUUACCUACAGAAGCGGAAGUGAAGUUGCUAAGACAGUAUGAGCGGGAGCGGAAGCCUCUUGAGGACCUUUCUAAUGAGGACAGGUUCAUGAUGCACUUCAGUAAAGUGGAGCGUCUCUCUCAAAGGAUGUCCAUCAUGACAUUCAUGGGCAAUUUCAGUGAGAACCUGCAGCUGCUAACACCGCAACUGAACGCAGUGAUUGCAGCUUCUGCUUCAGUCAAAUCUUCUCCAAAGCUGAAACAAAUGCUGGAGGUAAUUCUUGCCUUGGGUAACUACAUGAACAGCAGCAAGAGGGGAUCGGUCUAUGGGUUCAAACUACAGAGCUUAGACUUGCUGCAAGACACAAAGUCAACCGACAGGAAGAUGACCUUGCUUAACUACAUUGCCUUGAUUGGCAAGGAGAAGUAUCCUGAGGUGGCCACAUUCUACAAUGAGCUUCAUUUUGUGGAGAAGGCAGCAGCAGUGUCUCUUGAAAACGUCCUUAUGGAUGUAAAGGAGCUUGGGAAAGGAAUGGACUUAAUUCGCAAGGAGAGCAGUCAUCAUGACAAUAGUGUCCUCAGGAACUUUGUGAGUGGAAAUGAAGGAAAACUGGACAAGAUUCAGAAGGAUGCCAAAACAGCAGAGGAAGCAUACGCAGCUGUGGUGCUUUACUUUGGAGAAAGUCCAAAGACAACGCCGCCCUCCGUGUUCUUUCCAGUAUUCGCUCGUUUCAUCAAAUCAUAUAAGGAAGCUGAACUUGAGAAUGAGAUGCGCAAGAAGCAGGAGGAGGUUAUGCGAGAGAAGUUAUUGGCACAAGAAGCAAAGAAGAUGGACCCUAAGUCUCCAGCGCCGAAAAAUAAACGUCAGCAACACGAUCUGAUAGCAGAGCUGCGGCGGCGGCAAGCCAAGGACCAUCGACCGGUCUAUGAAGGGAAGGAUGGAACCAUUGAGGACAUAAUAACAGUCCUGAAGAGUGUCCCCUUCACAGCCAGAACAGCCAAGAGAGGCUCUCGCUUCUUCUGUGAUACAUCCCUAUUUGAGGAUUCAAACUGUUAAGCCCAAUGCCUUUAAAAAAUUAGCUACCAGGAAGAUCCAUCUUUAGUUUCCUAUUUUCUUGCAGAGGAUCUCCGUAAUCAGCCCUUCAGACGUGCAGAUGCAGUUCUGCGGCAUGCCUGGAGGCGGAGCUAGCACAUCCAGUUCCAUGAGCCAGAUCAGGCCUUGCUGUGUAUGUUACUCCUUGGAGUAGAUGAACUUAAAACAUUCAGCAGAUGACUGUGCUCCACAUGUUAAGGGAAAUGAAGAAGCCGGGACACUUCACAAAAUAGAAGAAAAAGUGCCUUAUUGCUACAGUAUUAUAGAACUAUUUUUCUUUUACUAUUUAUAUUUUCUUAAGUUUUUACUGUUGAAAUUGUAAAUAUUUUUUUUUGUAAGGUUGCCCGACCAAUAUUGGCUGCUCUGGGCGAAAAAAG